UAUAUAUUAGGACUAUACAAAAAACUCGAUACAAAGAAGAGCUAUAGCUAUGGGCAACAAUAAGAAAUGGCUUAAUGGAAAAGACACUGUUGAACCAAGCGGAAGGAUCCCUGUGACUAUUGAUGGUGAAAAAAAGACAGUUCCAAACCAUCCAUUUGUUCCAAAAAAAAGAAUUUGGUAAAGAUGGAGUUUUUCGGUAUUCCAAUGGGAAGGUUUUUCCAAUGAAGAACGGGAAACUAGCAGAACAACUGGAACCCUAUGGAGAGUACUACUAUACGAAGAAUCCACUCGAACGGCGCUAGAGCUACUACCAGUAACACAUGUGCAGGUCUACUUUCCACAUACAUAUGUACACCCUUCAUUCACUGUAUAUUUUGCAAUAAGAUUGAUCACAAGAAGUUUCUUACUGUGAUCUAUAUUAGGUGUAUUAUAUAUAUAAAUAUGGGUAUAUAUAUAUAUUUAUAUAUGGUUG